CCUACGGGUGGCAGCAGUGGGGAAUAUUGGGCAAUGGGCGCAAGCCUGACCCAGCAACGCCGCGUGAAGGAAGAAGGCCCUCGGGUUGUAAACUUCUUUUGUCAGGGACGAAGAAAGUGACGGUACCUUACGAAUAAGCCACGGCUAACUACGUGCCAGCCGCCGCGGGAAUACGUAGGUGGCAAGCGUUAUCCGGAUUUACGGGGUGUAAAGGGCGGGUAGGCGGGACUGCAAGCCGGAUGUGAAAUUCCAGUGCUUAACCGUGGAACUGCAUUUGAAACCGGAGUUGUUGAGUGAUGGAGAGGCGGGGGGGAGUCCGUGUGUAGCGGGGAAAUGCGUAGAUAUACGGAGGAACACCAGUGGCGAAGGCGGCCUGCUGGACAUUAACUGACGCUGAGGCGCGAAAGCGUGGGGAGCAAACAGGAUUAGAUACCCGAGUAGUC
rnacentral:rRNA from 1 species